rnacentral:rRNA from 1 species
GAUGAACGCUGGCGGCGUGCCUAAUACAUGCGAGUCGAGCGAACAGACGAGGAGCUUGCUCCUCUGACGUUAGCGGCGGACGGGUGAGUAACACGUGGAUAACCUACCUAUAAGACUGGGAUAACUUCGGGAAACCGGAGCUAAUACCGGAUAAUAUAUUGACCCGCAUGGUUCAAUAGUGAAAGACGGUUUUGCUGUCACUUAUAGAUGGAUCCGCGCCGCAUUAGCUAGUUGGUAAGGUAACGGCUUACCAAGGCAACGAUGCGUAGCCGACCUGAGAGGGUGAUCGGCCACACUGGAACUGAGACACGGUCCAGACUCCUACGGGAGGCAGCAGUAGGGAAUCUUCCGCAAUGGGCGAAAGCUUGACGGAGCAACGCCGCGUGAGUGAUGAAGGUCUUCGGAUCGUAAAACUCUGUUAUUAGGGAAGAACAAAUGUGUAAGUAACUAUGCACGUCUUGACGGUACCUAAUCAGAAAGCCACGGCUAACUACGU